GACAGAGGGUGCAAACGUUGUUCGGAAUUACUGGGCGUAAAGCGUGUGUAGGCGGCGUGACAAGUCACUUGUGAAAUCUCCGGGCUUAACCCGGAGCGGCCAAGUGAUACUGUCGUGCUAGAGUGCGGAAGGGGCUACUGGAAUUCUCGGUGUAGCGGUGAAAUGCGUAGAUAUCGAGAGGAACACCUGCGGCGAAGGCGGGUAGCUGGGCCGACACUGACGCUGAUGCGCGAAAGCCAGGGGAGCGAACGGG
rnacentral:rRNA from 1 species